rnacentral:rRNA from 1 species
UACGAAGGGGGCUAGCGUUGUUCGGAAUUACUGGGCGUAAAGCGCACGUAGGCGGAUAUUUAAGUCAGGGGUGAAAUCCCAGAGCUCAACUCUGGAACUGCCUUUGAUACUGGGUAUCUUGAGUAUGGAAGAGGUAAGUGGAAUUGCGAGUGUAGAGGUGAAAUUCGUAGAUAUUCGCAGGAACACCAGUGGCGAAGGCGGCUCACUGGACUGGUAUUGACGCUGAGGUGCGAAAGCGUGGGGAGCAAACAGG